rnacentral:rRNA from 1 species
CAGCAGCCGCGGUAAUACGUAGGUGGCAAGCGUUGUCCGGAAUUAUUGGGCGUAAAGGGCUCGCAGGCGGUUUCUUAAGUCUGAUGUGAAAGCCCCCGGCUCAACCGGGGAGGGUCAUUGGAAACUGGGGAACUUGAGUGCAGAAGAGGAGAGUGGAAUUCCACGUGUAGCGGUGAAAUGCGUAGAGAUGUGGAGGAACACCAGUGGCGAAGGCGACUCUCUGGUCUGUAACUGACGCUGAGGAGCGAAAGCGUGGGGAGCGAACAGGAUUAGAUACCCCAGUAGUCCCUGUCUCUUAUAU